CUUUAACGCUAUUAUUUAUUUAAUUUAACUAAUAUUUUUAUUUAUUUAUUUAUUUAACGCGGUUUGUGCACUAACGUCAUCUGUAUCCAUGAAAAAUGUCUGGAAUCAAGGAAGUGUGAUUCUUUUUUAAAGAAUCGAUUCCUAGCCCUAUUUUUCCUCUGCUGAAGUAAUUUCAAACUUUAUAGACUCUGACAGGAAAAAAAUUAGUCCAGAGACUACUGUGUGUUAGUGGACACUCUACGAGUUCAAACCCCGCCCUCAUCAAAGUGAAAUGAUGGUAGGACGUCAGGAAAGUUCAGAAAGCGCCACAGCUGGUGAUACACAAGAACCACAACAUAUAGGAUGCAGCAUGAUUGCAGACAUGGUGAACUCCAGCUGUGGAACUGAACCACAUUUCAACAGGGUUAAAGAGCCUGAAUGUGAAACGGUACAAUUAAAAGAAUCAGACAAAGAGGUAUACAUCAGUGCAGCUGAGCAAGAAGCUGUUUCAGCUCCUGUUGUGAUCCUCUCUGACGUGACACGAGGCGAUGCAGUAAGUGACAGAUUACAAUCUACAGAAUUGUUGUUGGAGUCUGCCAAUCUUCAUGAAAUUGACCCAGCCCUAAUUGACAUCCUCCCUGAAGUGAAACAAGACAAUGUAACCAAAAUGGAGACUGAAGAACAUAGUGCUGAUAUCAAAAAUGAGCCCCAGGACCAGCCAGAUUUGGAAGAGCCUGCGAUUAAACUCCUUGGGGAAUUGGGCGAGGUGGAGAAUGCGACCAAGACAACCUCUAGUCCUGAACCACAGACAUCUCACAAAGACCAAUGCUCCCCAAACCCUUGCCAUGAAAGGUCAUUGGACGUGGAUGGAGAUGGUGUGCUUUUUCAAGAAAUAGAAGAGACUAAGAUGGAUCAGAAGGCUGGAGAUCAUGAUCCUGAAAUUUUAUCAGGUGCAGUACUAGAGCAUUUAGUAGAAACGUAUUUUAAUAGUGAGAUGCAGUUGCAGGCUACUGAAGGGACGGAAAUUUUGGAGCCUCCAGCAAAGAAAAGAUUAAGAAGAAGAAUGGGUAUGUGUGGCCUAGGAGACAGGAAGAGGAGAUUCCCCUUUGAUGGACAGCACUGUAGGCAGGGUCUUAUAGGAAGAGAGAGGGAAGAAGGACCUCUUAAGGGAAAUAAAUGUGCACAGCACCUGCAUGACCCGCUGUUGGAGAAUGAUGGUACCACACCAAUGAACAUGAAGGAACUACCAGACCCGCAUGUCAAGAAAAUGAAGAGGUUUUGAAAAACAAGGAGAACAAUAGUGCUGCAGUGAUUGAUGAUAAAAGAACACCAGGAGAAGCAGAAAAAGAACAAAAAAAAAACAUGAAUAAGUGCACUGCAUUGAUGAGAGACGGUGAUACCACAGAUGAAUCCCCUACAGAAAAUAGAGAUGUUCUGGAAAAAGUCAUAUUGGAGGAAAAUGAUGGUAUUGUAAUCAUGGAUAACAAAGGAACUACUGAACAAGUGGUUUCAGAGCAUCACCUUAAACUGUUAGAAGAUAUAUCACCAGGGGUUGGACAAACACUGUUAAGUCCUACCAUUGGGAAAAACUUGAACAUGAGCCAAGAUGAACGGUCAGUAGCUGCUGCUACCAGUGACCAUGAAAUAGAAACUGCUACCUGUGGUGAAGAACCAAAUGUCCCUGGGACCGACAUGACCAACAAUAGACAAGAUAUCGAAUUUAACAUGAAACACGACGUUCUGCCAGAGACACAGCAUCUUCAUGCUGAUUAUAAAGUGGGCGAGGACCCCGAUGAGAUUGCGAUGGAAGAUGAAGUUGCUCAGGAAGUGAUCUGUAGCUCAGUUUGUGCUACGGUUGAAAAGUCUGAAGGUUGUUUCAUAGUCACUAGACAGGUCCGAGAGGUUCCAACUGGUCUGGAAGAAAGUGAAAUGGAGAUUGAAGAGUGGUGUCCAUCCAAUAUGGCUCCCACUGAGAAACAUGACCCGAACGGACCUGAACUGGGCGGGUCCACUGAAAAAGGAUUGGACGCCAGAUUUGUCGACAGCACGGGUAUUGCUUCCAUUGAAAUACAUCAUGUGAAAGGUCACUGUGAAAACGACAAGCCCAUAACAGCUGUAUCAGGGAGUACAGAGCCUGCUGGAGGAGAUGCCAUCAAUGCUAAGCAGAACAGUGAACCUCUAGCACCACCUACUGUCCAGGAGAAGUGCAUGCAGGUAUAGUAAGUGGGGGGAAUCAGUGGCACAAAGCAAAACAUAACGAGCCAAGACUCAGGUUUGUAAAACAUCUAAAUAGUACAUAAGGUAGUAGCAAUAAAAUGAAUUCCUUACAGAUGUUAUAUUUAUAUCUUGUGAUAUUAAAGCAGUUAUGAAGAUUACUUAUAUAGUUGUUUUGUCAUGGUUCCUGCUCUUAGUGUCUUUUAGACCAGAAUCACUGCGACACUUCUGUGACCUCUACUGUUGCUGAGCAGCAGGUCUGUAACCCCACCCUGACCCCUGCUCCUAGUGAGGCAUCUCAGGAGACUGGCUUAUCCGUUCCAUCGUCGCUUUACUCUAUGACGGACUCCCAACUCCAUAAAAUUGCAUUAAGCAUGGAGCUGGAGGACCAGCCUAUCCCAGAAGGCUGUGAUCACCAGGAGGAUGCCACAGAGCUUGUGCGUGGCCUCAUCAGAGAACUCUCCUCUAUAAAGUAUGAAUGAGAAAUCACAGAGAUAGAGCAUUAGCAGCGUUUCCAUUCACGUGUGGAUAUGAAAAUUUCUAUAUACCUUAUCAUAGCCUACGUGUUUAUUUUAGAAAUCCGUGAAGCUUUUCGAAGGAAACGACUUUCACGUACACAAAGGGUGCCGAGUCUCAGGAAAAAUGAAUUGAUUUAGAACGAUGAGUGAUCAAAGUUCGUUCCAUCUUGCUUUAGCAUCUUUUACUAAUGCUCAUAUUUCCAUGUUUUCUUUCUCAUCACACACACACGCUCAGUCGUACCGUGAUGGCGGCACACCGUGAGAUGGAACUCUUGCGCCGUGGAAAACUUCUAAAGGCUCCGAAUCGUCGCCUUUGUGGUCCUCGCCAUACCGAGAUGUAACCACAUGAUGGAGAUAUGAUGCGGAUAAUAGUCUCAUCCUUCUAUAAAAUUAUUAUUUGGCAGUAGGGCCUAUAAUGCUUGUUUAUACAAAUCUUUGUUGAGGUGUAUAUAUAAAGAGGUAAGGAGUAAAUGGUGUAACUUUGAUUUUGUGUUCGAGACUGGAUCUGUCUAGGUUAGAGGAGUUCUACAGGUUUACUUGUUUGUCCAUAAAGUUUGAUCUGUUUUUAUUUUUAUACAGAAUGCAUUACUAGAGUGUCAGAAUGAGCCUCAGCAGUUUCUCAAGGCAGCUAGCCAUGUCUCACAUUCCGUCUUUUCGCUUUUCAGAAACUGAUUGAUACGAGUACUUAAGUAGAUUAAUGUGUAGACUUGCUUUUUUAUGUCACUUUGAAGUGGGAGCUCCUUUUUAAUGCGCUCACCACCAUAAUUGUUUUGUUUACAAGUCCUUGAGUUGGUGAAAAAUGUUUGUUUUAUUGUUGUAACUCCAAGACCAGUUGAUAAUUCGGUCAUCUACACUGGUGGGGUGUUUUUUUUUUUUAAAAAAAACUGGACCAUUUGUGCAGAAUGAACUGCUUCAAACCAGCCCACUUCUGUACCAGUAAACAACGUAAAGAUGAAUGUUGAAAGUGGUCUCUUUGUUUUCCUUCAUGUAAUAGGUCUGGCCUACAUAUACGCUCUUAAAAAUAAAAAAAGGUUCCAGUUAGAACCAAAAACAAAAGUUUUUCAGCCUGAUGGCAUAGGAGAACCCUUUUAAGCUGCACAAAGAACCUUCUAUUUACUGGUUCUAUAAAGAACCCACAGUUCUUCACAGCAAUGCCACAAGGAACCAUAUUAUAAGUUCUCUUCUUUAAUAAAAAACAAAAACAAAAAGAAGGUUCUUAAGAGUGAUCAAUGAUGCCAGAAGAACCUUUUCCAGUCCCACUAAGAACCUUACAGGGUUCACUUGAAUCUGUUAAGGGAUGAUACCUUGAAGAAC
ensembl:lncRNA